rnacentral:rRNA from 1 species
UACGUAGGGACCAAGCGUUAUCCGGAUUCACUGGGUUUAAAGGGUGCGUAGGUGGGCAGGUAAGUCAGUGGUGAAAUCUUUGGGCUUAACCCGAAAACUGCCGUUGAUACUAUCUGUCUUGAAUAUAGUGGAGGUGAGCGGAAUAUGUCAUGUAGCGGUGAAAUGCUUAGAUAUGACAUAGAACAUCGAUUGCGAAGGCAGCUCGCUACACUAUGAUUGACACUGAGGCACGAAAGCGUGGGGAUCAAACAGG